rnacentral:lncRNA from 1 species
GUCUACAAAAAAUCAAGAAAUUAGCCGGGCGUGGUGUAUUGGUUUGCUUUCACACUGCUAUAAAGUACUGCCCGAGACUGGGUCAUUUAUAAAGGAAAGAGAUUUAAUUGACUCACAGUUCAACAUGGCUGGGGAGGCCUCAGGAAACUUAUAAUCAUGGAGGCCGUCAAAGGGGAAGCAAGACACCUUCAUAAGGUGGCAGAAAGAAGUGCCGAGCAAAGGG